UUUUAUGUCUACAGCAGAGAUGACAUCUCCUGUGGCAUGACUGGAAAGCCCAGACAUGACCGGGGGCACUGGGGCACCCAAAGCCCUUGCUCAGGUCUUUCGAAGGUGAUAAAGUGCCCGGGAGCUGCUGGAAACCAUUCUCCAAUAAAUUCAAAGGGAAAAGUCAUUUUUUUGUGCCUUGGAAGCUUGUGAGAGCUGAGGGAUGCUGGAAGGCAGUGAAAACUGAGGCAGUGCAUCGCACACUAGUGUGGCAGGAAGCCACCGGAGCAAAUUUUCUGGGCUGUCAUUCAGAAGCUCAUCAUAGAGCAGUGAACACAUUCCUUGUGGGAGCUCAGCAUCAGAAGAAGUUGCAAGUCCCUUCUCAGGAGGAAAGACAAGCACAAGCUGAAACAUCCAAGCUGCAGUCAGUGGCAGAACACCACUCCAGGAAGGAUCAUGCCUCAUCAGCGGGUGUUGGCUUUCUAAGGCACCUCAAGUACCCUGCCAGGGUAAUUAGUAGUGAUCUGAAUCAGACAUCACUAUGUACAUGUCUGUCUACAAUGGUGACAUGUAUCCUCAUACAUCUGCAGCCAACAGCAUUUUUGAGGUGGAUACACUCCCUAGCCUGCAGUAAUCCCCUGCCUUGUGCUUGUUGUCACUCUGCACAGGAGUGUUUGUCCCAGAUAGAUCCUUGCAUUGUCUCCAUGUUGCUCUGGGAUUCCAAGCUAGCUGGGAGUAUCACUGAAAAUUGAAGGACAAAGUUGGAGGGAAAUGUGUUUAGUUUAGCUGGGACAAGUCAGGAAUUGCAUCUACCAAAGAAAAGAGCAGAUUUUGAUUCCACUGUGUUUAUAUUUAUUUUGAAGGAAAAAAAAUGGGCAGUUUAUUUGUUGCAAUGUGCUUAUUUCACUCUCAGCUCCAGUAGCUAGGUAAACACUUCCCAGUAAUUUCCCAUAAGAAAAAGCUAGAAAAUCAGGGAAAGAGUGUUGUUCUUUCACCAGAAACAUUAAUAACAUGCAGUAUGGACCUUGCCUUUUCUCUGACUACUUCAUAAAAAGCUGUGGCAUAGGUGUAGCAACAGUUGACCAGGUCCAGACACUGCCUCUCACUCAGAGCGGCCAGGCUGCAGUCAUGUCUCAGUUAAUUUUAUUUUAUUAAUUUGUUUUUUAAUUAUUUUCUUUCAUAAAAGGCUUGUAAUAUGUGAUGGAAAGAGCAGGGAAAUUCACCACUUUUGUACAUCUUUCCUGCAGGAACGGGCCACAAGGGGUGUGGGUGCCCCUUGUGCCUUUGCAGUGCCAGCCAAGGACAGUCCACAGGACUCCUGAGGCCCAUAGGAGGAUGCACAUAAGAAAGGCAGAGCCCGACCAGCCUGGCAGGAGACAGAGGGAAAGGGUAGGAGCUGUCCUUUCCUAGAAGGGAGCUGUGGAGACUCAGGCCCCAUGGAGCCAGCAGCUGGGGCAGGAUGAGAGGUGUGGGUGAGAAGGAGGGAGAUGCAGACCGGCAGUACCUGUUUGUGCUACUUCACUGUGACUGCUCGUGCAACUCUUCAGACCUACCUUUGUGUUUCAUUUUUUAAUCAUCCUCCAAGAUCUCAAGUAAACUUGCUUGUCUCACCCUAGCUAGGGCCAGCCCUUCCAUAUAUGCCCUCUGUACCAGCCAUACUCUGUCUCCUUCCCCAGAAAGCUCCUUUCCCUCUGCCAGCCUGUGAUGGCUGUCCACACCAGAAGUGCACACUGAUUCCAUCAGGCUGCCUUUCCCCACUUCAGCCACAUCAAAUGAAAUGUGGGCACAUAGUGGUGUGAUUUAGUUCAGCCUCCAAUAUUGUCACACUUCCAGGAUUACUGUGGCUUUCAUGGUGCUCCCAGGAGGUGCAUGAACAAGUGCAAGGUGUCCUGAAGAACUUCCCAAGCUUUGGACUGUUGAAUGGUCUGCUAAAAAGUGGAAUAUGACAAUCCCACCCUUGGGAGGGAUGGGAUCACAUUCUCUGUUGCUUGUUCCCAGGAUGGAUUGUGUUUGCCUGCAGUGCUGGUAGACCAGAUUUAUUCAUGUACCUUCUGUCUUGUGUUUCAUUUGCUUUGGCAACUCCCUAGCUCCUGGUCAUGGUGGGACACCACUGUGUGCCCAGCCACCUGCAUGACUGCCAGGACAGUGAUAGCCCACCUUAUCUCUUGAGGGUAGCUCAGAUUACAGGCAAAGAAGAAAUAUUGUCUGCUCCAUUUGGUCUCCAGUUCAACCCUUACAUGUGACAUGUUACUUGCUAGGUACUCCCACAUGACUCGUGACCACAAAAAUAAUAAAAA